rnacentral:rRNA from 1 species
AGCGGCGAACGGGUGAGUAACACGUGGGCAACCUGCCCCUCAGUUAGGAAUAACCCCGCGAAAGCGGGGCUAAUACCAGGUGGCGUCCCCUGGGGGCAUCCUCGGGGGACCAAAGGGGGCGAGCGAAAGCAGCUCUCGCUGAGGGAUGGGCCUGCGGCUGAUUAGCUAGUUGGUAGGGUAACGGCCUACCAAGGCGACGAUCAGUAGCCGACCUGAGAGGGUGACCGGCCACACUGGGACUGAGACACGGCCCAGACUCCUACGGGAGGCAGCAGUGGGGAAUAUUGCGCAAUGGGCGAAAGCCUGACGCAGCGACGCCGCGUGGGUGAUGAAGGCCUUCGGGUCGUAAAACCCUGUCGGGUGGAACGAACCUCCGCCUUUCUAAUACAGGGGCGGACUGACGGUACCACCGAAGGAAGCCCCGGCUAACUACGUGCCAGCAGCCGCGGUAAUACGUAGGGGGCGAGCGUUGUUCGGAUUUACUGGGCGUAAAGAGCGCGUAGGCGGUUCGAUCAGUCGGAGGUGAAAUCCCUCGGCUCAACCGAGGACCCGCGUCCGAUACUGUCGAACUUGAGUGCAGGAGAGGAGAGCGGAAUUCCCAGUGUAGCGGUGAAAUGCGUAGAUAUUGGGAGGAACACCGGUGGCGAAGGCGGCUCUCUGGACUGCUACUGACGCUGAGGCGCGAAAGCUAGGGGAGCAAACGGGAUUAGAUACCCCGGUAGUCCUAGCCGUAAACGAUGGGCACUAGGUGUGGGAGG